GACAGAGGGUGCAAACGUUGCUCGGAAUUACUGGGCGUAAAGGGCGCGUAGGCGGCCUUCUAAGUCGAACGUGAAAUCCCCGGGCUCAACCCGGGAACUGCGUCCGAUACUGGAAGGCUUGAAUCCGGGAGAGGGAUGUGGAAUUCCAGGUGUAGCGGUGAAAUGCGUAGAUAUCGGGAGGAACACCAGUGGCGAAAGCGGCUACCUGGCCCAUUCUUGACGCUGAGGCGCGAAAGCUAGGGGAGCAAACGGG
rnacentral:rRNA from 1 species